UCUGGGAUAUCUGUAUCGGGUUCCCAAUUACAAACCUCUCUGGUUACUUGUCCAUGUUGCUUUCACAAGUCAGGAAACAUUACUGUUUGUUAAUGGCAGUGGUUAUUUGUACUGCUUGCAUUUUUAGUACUGUAUAGGCACUUGUGAAAGAUCUCAAUCAACCCUUUAAUUAUGUGGUCUGACCUGGUUACAUACCAGAUCUCUUAAGUGAAAACUUUCAACAACGGAUCUCUUGGCUCUCGCAUCGAUGAAGAACGCAGCGAAAUGCGAUAAGUAAUGUGAAUUGCAGAAUUCAGUGAAUCAUCGAAUCUUUGAACGCACAUUGCGCCCUUUGGCAUUCCUUAGGGCAUGCCUGCUCGAGCGUCACAGAAAACCCCAUCACAGAUACUGUGGUCUUGGUAUUGAGUGGGUUGAUAGUAUGUGGAGACAUGCUUAUAACACUCACUCUACUGAAAUUUACAGACAGGAUACCAGAUAUGGGCAAUAGACUUUGUAAAUAUCCACAGGAUAUAUCAGUCAUGUGUUAUGUUUGGUCCUGAAAUUAUAGACUCGGACUCCUAUUCUAUAUAAAUAUUGGGUUGACCUCGAAUCAGGUAGGGAUACCCGCUGAACUUAAGCAUAUCAAUAAGCGGAGGA
rnacentral:sRNA from 1 species